rnacentral:rRNA from 1 species
AGACCCGAAACCCGGUGAUCUAGCCAUGGGCAGGUUGAAGGUUGGGUAACACUAACUGGAGGACCGAACCGACUAAUGUUGAAAAAUUAGCGGAUGACCUGUGGCUGGGGGUGAAAGGCCAAUCAAACCGGGAGAUAGCUGGUUCUCCCCGAAAGCUAUUUAGGUAGCGCCUCGUGAAUUCAUCUCCGGGGGUAGAGCACUGUUUCGGCUAGGGGGCCAUCCCGGCUUACCAACCCGAUGCAAACUGCGAAUACCGGAGAAUGUUAUCACGGGAGACACACGGCGGGUGCUAACGUCCGUCGUGAAGAGGGAAACAACCCAGACCGCCAGCUAAGGUCCCAAAGUCAUGGUUAAGUGGGAAACGAUGUGGGAAGGCCCAGACAGCCAGGAUGUUGGCUUAGAAGCAGCCAUCAUUUAAAGAAAGCGUAAUAGCUCACUGGUCGAGUCGGCCUGCGCGGAAGAUGUAACGGGGCUAAACCAUGCACCGAAGCUGCGGCAGCGACACUGUGUGUUGUUGGGUAGGGGAGCGUUCUGUAAGCCUGUGAAGGUGUGUCGUGAGGCAUGCUGGAGGUAUCAGAAGUGCGAAUGCUGACAUAAGUAACGAUAAAGCGGGUGAAAAGCCCGCUCGCCGGAAGACCAAGGGUUCCUGUCCAACGUUAAUCGGGGCAGGGUGAGUCGACCCCUAAGGCGAGGCCGAAAGGCGUAGUCGAUGGGAAACGGGUUAAUAUUCCCGUACUUGGUGUUACUGCGAAGGGGGGACGGAGAAGGCUAUGUUGGCCGGGCGACGGUUGUCCCGGUUUAAGCGUGUAGGUGUGUGUUCCAGGUAAAUCCGGUUCACUUUAACACUGAGGCGUGACGACGAGGCACUACGGUGCUGAAGCAACAAAUGCCCUGCUUCCAGGAAAAGCCUCUAAGCAUCAGGUAACAUCAAAUCGUACCCCAAACCGACACAGGUGGUCAGGUAGAGAAUACCAAGGCGCUUGAGAGAACUCGGGUGAAGGAACUAGGCAAAAUGGUGCCGUAACUUCGGGAGAAGGCACGCUGACACGUAGGUGAAGUGAUUUACUCAUGGAGCUGAAGUCAGUCGAAGAUACCAGCUGGCUGCAACUGUUUAUUAAAAACACAGCACUGUGCAAACACGAAAGUGGACGUAUACGGUGUGACGCCUGCCCGGUGCCGGAAGGUUAAUUGAUGGGGUCAGCGCAAGCGAAGCUCCUGAUCGAAGCCCCGGUAAACGGCGGCCGUAACUAUAACGGUCCUAAGGUAGCGAAAUUCCUUGUCGGGUAAGUUCCGACCUGCACGAAUGGCGUAAUGAUGGCCAGGCUGUCUCCACCCGAGACUCAGUGAAAUUGAACUCGCUGUGAAGAUGCAGUGUACCCGCGGCAAGACGGAAAGACCCCGUGAACCUUUACUAUAGCUUGACACUGAACAUUGAGCCUUGAUGUGUAGGAUAGGUGGGAGGCUUUGAAGUGUGGACGCCAGUCUGCAUGGAGCCGACCUUGAAAUACCACCCUUUAAUGUUUGAUGUUCUAACGUGGACCCGUAAUCCGGGUUGCGGACAGUGUCUGGUGGGUAGUUUGACUGGGGCGGUCUCCUCCUAAAGAGUAACGGAGGAGCACGAAGGUUGGCUAAUCCUGGUCGGACAUCAGGAGGUUAGUGCAAUGGCAUAAGCCAGCUUGACUGCGAGCGUGACGGCGCGAGCAGGUGCGAAAGCAGGUCAUAGUGAUCCGGUGGUUCUGAAUGGAAGGGCCAUCGCUCAACGGAUAAAAGGUACUCCGGGGAUAACAGGCUGAUACCGCCCAAGAGUUCAUAUCGACGGCGGUGUUUGGCACCUCGAUGUCGGCUCAUCACAUCCUGGGGCUGAAGUAGGUCCCAAGGGUAUGGCUGUUCGCCAUUUAAAGUGGUACGCGAGCUGGGUUUAGAACGUCGUGAGACAGUUCGGUCCCUAUCUGCCGUGGGCGCUGGAGAACUGAGGGGGGCUGCUCCUAGUACGAGAGGACCGGAGUGGACGCAUCACUGGUGUUCGGGUUGUCAUGCCAAUGGCACUGCCCGGUAGCUAAAUGCGGAAGAGAUAAGUGCUGAAAGCAUCUAAGCACGAAACUUGCCCCGAGAUGAGUUCUCCCUGAGACUUUAAGUCUCCUGAAGGAACGUUGAAGACGACGACGUUGAUAGGCCGGGUGUGUAAGCGCAGCGAUGCGUUGAGCUAACCGGUACUAAUGAACCGUGAGGCUUAACCUUACAAC